rnacentral:rRNA from 1 species
UACGUAGGGUGCAAGCGUUGUCCGGAAUUAUUGGGCGUAAAGAGCUCGUAGGCGGUCGUGUUACGUCGGCUGUGAAAACCUGGGGCCUCACUCCGGGCCUGCAGCCGAUACGGGCAGACUAGAGUUCGGCAGGGGAGACUGGAAUUCCUGGUGUAGCGGUGAAAUGCGCAGAUAUCAGGAGGAACACCGAUAGCGAAGGCAGCUCGCUGGGACGUUACUGACACUGAGGCG